rnacentral:rRNA from 1 species
CGUAGGUGGAAGAUUAAGUCAGCCUGUGAAAGUUUACGGCUGAACCGUAUACUUGCAGUUGAUACUGGUUGUCUUGAGUGCAGUAGAGGUGGGCUGAAUUCGUGGUGUAGCGGUGAAAUGCUUAGAUAUCACGAAGAACUCCGAUUGCGAAGGCAGCUCACUGGACUGUAACUGACACUGAUGCGCGAAAGUGUGGGUAUCAA